GGGAGGAUGGAUCUGGUGGUUCAGUCGGUCUUCAAAACCGAUAAGAGGCGGAUAAAACCGUCUUUGGCAGGUUCGAUUCCUGCCCUCUCAGCCA
rnacentral:tRNA from 1 species